UGCCAGCCGCCGCGGUAAUACGGAGGGUGCAAGCGUUAUCCGGAUUCACUGGGUUUAAAGGGUGCGUAGGUGGGCUUGUAAGUCAGUGGUGAAAUCUCCGUGCUUAACAUGGAAACUGCCAUUGAUACUAUGGGUCUUGAAUUAUCUGGAGGUCAGCGGAAUAUGUCAUGUAGCGGUGAGAUGCUUAGAUAUGACAUAGAACACCAAUUGCGAAGGCAGCUGGCUACAGGUAUAUUGACACUGAGGCACGAAAGCGUGGGGAUCAAACAGGAUUAGAUA
rnacentral:rRNA from 1 species